GGCGGGGUUUUAAGCAGGACCAACAUGGCGGCUCGUUUAAAGAAAGUAAAAUGAGUUUCUGCAAACACGUGAGGCGACAGAUGAACGGCGUAGUUUAUGGAUCGGACUUUAUUGUCGUUUCCGGUCGCCAUUGUUGAGUUUUUGUGCAGGUUUCAAGGAGACGUCGAGGCGGACAGUUUUUACCUCGGUGACGGAUUCUACUGCUGCCUGACUGACUGCGGACAUGUUCAACACGCUGACACAGUGAAGCAGGUGGAGUUCACAAGAAGAUGAUCCUGCUGCUCCUCAUCCUCACCUCCUCAGCAGGAGGAGAAGUGGAGGUGACACAGAAAUACUACCAGGCGGAGGAAAAGCACCACAUCACACUGGAGUGGACGUUCACCACAAACACUGAUGAUACAGCUGAGGCGAUUCAUAUCUACUGCUGUCGUUCAGCCAAUGAGAAGUGCCCUCUUCUAUAUGAUGUCUAUGAAGGUGUUGAGCACCCAGAAAUAGUGCAUGAAGGUUUUUCAGGAAGAGUCCAGGUGGACACAGACGCCCUCAGAGAAGGACGAAUCAGACUUCAUCUGUCCAGACUCAGGACUGAAGACUCUGGUCUGUACUGGUGUGCUGUGAUGCCGGAUCAUGAUUCUGAGUACAGCGGCGCCAUGUGUGAACUGACUGUCUCUGCUGCUGAGAAACUAACGCAGAGUCCACCAGCAGCAGACACAGGAGGACAGACAGGACUCACCAUUGGACUUACAGCAGCAGGAGGAGUUCUGCUGUUUAUUAUGUACAGGGCUAUUGUCCAAAACAGAAAGAGAAAAAAUGAAUGACAUGUAGAGUCUCAAAAAAUCAGCACCCACCCCACUGAGCACGUGCAGACCUCCUCUUCCUCUGACAGCCUUCAUCAAACAUGUGGUUUUACAAUAGACAAUAGGUGUUAAGUUGUGGGUGUGAGUGCCCCCUGGUGGUAGAACAUGAUAACUACAGUCAGGAAGACCGCUGCAGAUGUGUGAAUGUGAACACACUGUGUUAUUUACACACACACAGAAUGACUGACACACACAUGUAAACAUGUAUAAAUACACACUACAUUAAGACAUCACAGCAUUUGAUCUAUUUUAACGUGAGUAUUGAUCAAACAGUGAAACACUGCUUUGUGUUACAGUUUGUAUGAUAGCAGGGUGGAGUAUACCAUGGCACAUUCACACCCACUGCUGUGUUGUUGAUCAUGUGUGUGUGUCUGUAACGUUGCAGCAGCAGGUUUGUGUUUUGUGCAGGUGUCCUGUCAGGAACAUUUUACUUUAGUAUAUAACUCUGAUAAACAGUGACACUGCUGCAACAUUCAAACCUGUGUCUGAGUCUGAGCUGUCUCCAGUGUUUCUGUUUGUAAUGUGAAGGAGACAUUAAUACUGAAUAUUUUACAGUAAAACACUGUUAAUCUUUACGUGGCUCAAAAAUGUUGGACAUGGUCGUUUAUUUUUUCAAUAAACGGCUGACGCCUGUCAGGGAUGAAAUUCCCCUUGUUUCUUCUGAUCCCCUCCCAAGUUGGUUUAUGAGGAAGGAGCGGAUAAAUUCUGGUCUCAAGAUUACAAUUUAUUGAACAAUGAGGCAGAUUCUGAGUCACAGAGCUCUGGGUUGUUGAGACACAAAGAACCAAACAAGAACGAACAAAGCAACAACAACCCCUGGACAUGGAAUUCACACAUUGAUAUACCACAGGGGCGUUCCUGCCCCCCCCCCCCCCUCUUGCAGACCCUGGGUCAUACAGCGAAUAGACGAUUAGUGUUUAUUCCCUAAUAAAGUAAAGCUUCAAUUCCUUAAAUCUCGUAGGUUGUGAGGCCGGUCUAGGGAUGACCAUAAACUGGGCACUCAGGAGAAUAACACAUUCCUUUAGAAUCUGGCUUUUAUCAGGUCCGAGGUGCUGCUGUCCUUAGAUUCAGUAUCCUCGAAUUACUUAGAUUUUCUAUAAAACUUCCUAACACAUAAACACUUAUGAAAAUCACAUUAUUAAGUGAUAAACACUUGAAUACUUCAUGUUAGGGACACACUUUUAUACAUGUGAACACACACUGCAUGUUAACAGUGCAGAAUAAAUUCUUUCACCCUUCACACCUGACGGUGCAACAGUAACAGCACCAAUUGUUUCUGAAUAACUUGGAACAUGCUCAUUUGUUGGACUUGGAACAACAGUAACAUUAGAGAACAGGAAGAGCUGGGGUGUGUGAGGACUGUGAUUCCUCUGGUGGACUAAAGCUGCAUAAACAAUGGUUAGACUGUUAAAUCUUUGGACUUUUUACAAAUGAACCUAACACAUCUGCAGCUCUGCUCCAGUCCCCUUGUUUCACAUGAUCAUUUUGAACAGUGUGUCCAAGAGGCAUCUGGAC
ensembl:lncRNA